GACGAACGCUGGCGGCGUGCUUAACACAUGCAAGUCGAACGAGUGGCGAACGGUUGAGUACUACGUGAGUACCCUGCCCUCUUUUUGGGAUAAGCCUUGGAAACUGGUUCUAAUACCGGAUAAAGGGGGAUGGGCUCGCGGCCUAUCAGCUUGUUGGUGGGGUGCUGGCCUACCAAGGCGGUGACGGGUAGCCGGCCUGAGCGGGUGACCGGCUACAUUGGAAAGGCGAUACGGCCUAGACUGGGAAGGGGGGGGGCAGGGGGCGAGAGUGCACAAUGGGCGAAAGCCGGAUGCAGCGAGGCCGCGUGGGGGAUGAAGGCUGUCUGGUUGGAAACAGAGUGCGGGAUGGAAGGGGUAGUUGGAAAUGAAGCGCCGGCUAACUACGUGCCAGCAGCCGCGGUAAUUC
rnacentral:rRNA from 1 species